rnacentral:rRNA from 1 species
CCUACGGGUGGCAGCAGUGGGGGAUAUUGGACAAUGGGGGGAACCCUGAUCCAGCAACGCCGCGUGGAGGAUGAAGGUUUUCGGAUUGUAAACUCCUUUUGUUAGAGAAGAUAAUGACGGUAUCUAACGAAUAAGCACCGGCUAACUCCGUGCCAGCAGCCGCGGUAAUACGGAGGGUGCAAGCGUUACUCGGAAUCACUCGGCGUAAAGAGUGCGUAGGCGGGAUAGCAAGUCAGAUGUGAAAUCCUAUGGCUUAACCAUAGAACUGCAUUUGAAACUGUUAUUCUAGAGUAUGGGAGAGGUAGGUGGAAUGCUUGGUGUAGGGGUAAAAUGCGUAGAGAUCAAGAGGAAUACUCAUUGCGAAGGCGACCUGCUAGAACAUAACUGACGCUGAUGCGCGAAAGCGUGGGGAGCAAACAGGAUUAGAUACCCGAGUAGUC